rnacentral:rRNA from 1 species
GGACUACAGGGGUAUCUAAUCCUGUUUGCUCCCCACGCUUUCGCGUCUCAGCGUCAGUCACUGUCCAGGUAGCCGCCUUCGCCACCGGUGUUCCUCUCGAUAUCUACGAAUUUCACCUCUACACCGAGAAUUCCGCCACCCUCUCCAGGACUCGAGCUUGGAAGUUUCGAAUGCACUUCCUGGGUUAAGCCCAGGGCUUUCACAUCCGACUUUCCAAGCAGCCUACACGCGCUUUACGCCCAGUAAUUCCGAACAACGUUUGCACCCUCUGUCUUACCGCGGCUGCUGGCAC